AUACUAAUAAUAAAUGCGCAGGAUCAUGUGAGCAUCACAAUAAUAAGUAAAAACAAUAGAUUCAAAAUCGUCACUAUACGGAAUACAGAGAAAUCCUCGCAGUGUAGUUCUCAUAUGAUGUGCUCCAAGGCAAUAGGGAUAAAUGCACUGAUCGGGCAUAACAUUAUGACCACCUGCCUAAUAUUGUGUUGCUGCCAAAACAGCCCUGACCCAUCAUGCACUGACACCUUUCUAUCAUGAACUUCUUCAGCAGUUUGAGCAACAGUAGCUCGUCUGUUGGAUCGGAUCACACGGGCCAGCCUUCGCUCCCCACGUGCAUCAAUGAGGCUUGGCCCGUCCAUGACCCUGUCAACGGUUCACCACUGUUCCUUCCUUGGACCACUUUUGAUAGAUACUGACCACUGCAGACCGGGAACACCCGACAAGAGCUGCAGUUUUGGAGAUGCUCUGAUCCAGUCAUCUAGCCAUCACAAUUUGGCCCUUCAUCAAACUCGCUCAAAUCCUUACACUUGUCUAUUUUUCCUGCUUCUAACGCAUCAACUUUGAGGACAAAAUGUGCCUAAUAUAUCCCACCCACUAACAGGUGCCAUGAUGAGGAGAUAAUCAGUCUUAUUCACUUCACCUGUCAGUGAUCAUAACGUUAUUCCUGAUCAGUGUAAGUCAAUUAUUGUAAUGAUGUAUACGGUAUAAAUAAGUAUGUAAAUACUAUUUAUAUAGAUAUAAAUAAGUUAUUGAAUAAUAUAGAAUAUAAAGUGCAGCAGAAUGUAAACAUACUGAGUAUUUUAGCCUUAUUCCAAAAUGGAUUAAAUUCAUUAUUUUCCUCAAAAUUCUACAAACAAUACCUCAUAAUGACAAUGUGAAAGAAGAUUGUUUGAAAACUUUGAAAAUUUAUUAAAAAUAAAAAACAGGGAAAAAAAAAAAAUCACAUGCACAUAAGUAUUCACAGCCAGAUUUUGGAUGAGAAGGCCUGGCUCACAGUCUCCGCUCUAAUUCAUCCCAAAGGUGUUCUAUCAGGUUGAGGUCAGGACUCUGUCCAGUCAAGUUCCUCCACACCAAAUUCACUCAUCCAUGUCUUUAUGGACCUUGCUUUGUGCACUGGUGUUCAGUCAUGUUGGAACAGGAAGGGGUCAUCCCCAAACUGUUCCCACAAAGUUAGGAGCAUGAAAUUGUCCAAAAUGUCUUGGUAUGCUGAAGCAUUAAGAAUUCCUUUCACUGGAACUAAGGGGCCGACCCCUGAAAAACAACACCUGAAUUCAAUGUUUUGAAGGGGUGUCGUCCCAAAACUUUUGGGAAUAUUGUGUACUCUAUACAGUAUAUAGUACUCCAGGCAUAAGGACGGAUGAGCGAUACGUACCACCACGCUGCUCUCAAUUCUGAUUGGCCGCAGCAGCUCUGACAGCUUUCUGUAAGGAGAUGUUUAUGUAGCAUUUCUGGAAGGAGUCUCCAGUGUCAGUGUAUUGAAACAGUUUAAGGUGCAACUUUACAUUUUCAUUACAUCCAUUCUCUGGAUUUAAAGUCCCCUUUUCGCAUCGAAAGCUGCAUUUUUUCACGUUAUUGAGUGAGAUGAGUAGCUGAUGAAUUUUCUGGUAAAAAAAAAAAGAAGAGAAAAGAAAAGCAAGAGGAAGAACAAAACGUAUAAAAAAAAAGUCUUUGACGUCACUAAAUCCAGGAUUAUAGACCUAUUACAUUUUGAAUCGUAUAACCUCCCGAGGCGUAUUUGCAGUAGGCCAGCUCAGAUAGCCCUUUUUUCUGCCAGCCUAAUCAUUAUCCUUUAAUAUUCCCCUUGAGCCUGAAGGAGAGUUCACCUCCAUCACACACACUCGCUCUUUAAAAAUGUCUAAAAUGUCGGGUCUCAUUAAGGAAGCAAUGAUCGAGUCCUACGCCCUGAUGAUCUUGGUGAUGGCGGCGUUUUUCGUGUACUUCUGUGGCAUGGUCUGGGCGUUCAGCAACCCGAAACUCAGCGGCGCAGAGGACGAAGAAAUCACGCCGGAGUGUGUGAGCGAGACAGGACAGAGCGAAGGAGUUUCUUUAGAGCUGUGUAUGAGGCAUGGAGAGAUGAGAGACUGGAGAGGACAUACACCACAUGAUCGCCCGGUGAUGCUGGACAUACAGCCUUACAGCGGAUAUGUUAAUUACUUUUAUGAUGUGGAUUAAAUCCGAAAGGUGACAAUUCCUUUCCAAUUCAACAUUUCAUAUGAAGAAGCGGUGAAAAAUCAAACUCCUGAGGUGGCAGAUCCUCUACAAUAAUCACACUUACCGAAAGAUCAUCACUGGAUAUCCAUUUCAGCAUUGUAAUUUUCAAUGAACAUUUUAAACAGCGGUGUGUGCCAAUAUCUUGACAAAUUGUGCUUUAUCUUGUCUUUUGUAGUUUUGUUAGCUGCUUAUAGAAAGCCAAAAAUCGAUACCAAGUGUGAAGUGUCUUGUUCGUUCUUAUAAUAGAUGUCGUUUCUUGGACAAGAAUAGCAUCAGCACGUUUUGGAGCGAGUAUAAUUGUUUAAAGGGUCCCUGCUUUGAUCCUGAGCUCGGGUUUCUCCAGUGUUCUCCAUACGCCCUUCCAGGUUCUCCAGUUUCCUCCCACCUGCCAAGAACAUGCCUGUAGAAGGACAGGCUGCUCGAAUUACCCUCUCUGACUGAGUGUGUGUGUGUGUGUGUGGACUGUGAUGGACCAAUUCAUGAGCUGUUGAGCUGAUAGGAUGGGACAAAUGUAAAAAUAUUAGUAAUAAAUAUCAAAAUAUCAGUGUUCUCAGGCAGUAUAUUUGUCUGCCUUUACAUGCACAUGAAUGUAAUAUGGAGUUGUCCCGCCCUUUGCAGCUAUAACAGCUUCAGCUCUUCUGGGAAGGCUUUCCACAAGGUUUAGGAGUAACCCCUAACCCCUAACCCCUUGCUUUGUGCACUGGUGUUCAGUCAUGUUGGAACAGGAAGGGGUCAUCCCCAAACUGUUCCCACAAAGUUGGGAGCAUGAGAUUGUCCAAAAUGUCUUGCUAUGAAGCUGAAGCAUUAAGAGUUCCUUUUACUGGAACUAAGAAGCCAAGCCCAACCCCUGAAAAACAAGACCUGAAUACAAUGAUUUGGAGGGGUGUCCCAAAACUUUUGGCAACAUAAUGUUUAUUAAUGUUUGAUCUAGGCUGAGGGAGAGAAAGCUUCCAGCCAUUCCCUCAGUAUACAAUGAUUUAAAUAUAAAACGAUUUCAUAAAUCCACAAGACAGAUCUUUUAUGGCAUUUAAAAUAGUCGUAGUAGCUAGGUGGUUAAGGUGUUGGGCUUCAAAUCCCAGAACCACUAAGCUGCCACUGCUGAGCCCUUGAGCAAUGCCCUUAACCUUCAGCUGCUCAGAAUAAAUGAGAUAAAUGUAAGUGUCUGGAUAAGAGCGCCUGCCAAAAGCUGUAAAUGUAAUGAAUUGUUUUAUGUCUGAGGACUCAUUUGCAUUUAUAGUGAACUUUUUAGGAUAACAACUCCUAACAGAGUUCGUAUCAGUAGCAGAUAAAUAAUGACACAGCUCCCAAACCUAUUCAGAGAACAUUAUGGAUUAUAAUGUCAGAAGCGAUGAAGUAUGAAGAAAGAGAAAUGCAGGCAUAAUGCGAUCUUCAUUUAUUCUUCUGGGUAAAAUCCAGACUGAAAUGUUGUACACAUUUUAUUUACAGUACUCUAGGUAUAGUGAUGAAUGAAUGAUGUACAGUAUACCACAGUGCUGUUAAAGGCUCAAUUCUGUUUGGUCAGAUGUUGGUGUUGAUUCAUUUUCUACAGCAGCAGCAUCGUUCACAUCUCUGCUUUCUGUAAGGAGAGGUUACCAGUCCCUAUAGGACUGCAUUAUUUUCGCUAUUUUCGCUUUGCGUUAUUUCAUUAUUAUCACAGAAAUAAACAGAAAGUCAAGCAAAUUCUGCGAUAUUUUCGAGGAACUUUUUUGAAAUGGCUAAAGGUUUUCUGGAGAUUUGGGCCGAGACGUGUCAUGUAAGGUCAUCACCAAAGUCAUUACAUACACCAAUCAGGCAUAACAUUAUGACCACCUGCCUAAUAUCUUGUUGGUCCCCUUUUUCCUGCCCAAACAGCCCUGACCACAAAGGGGUGUCCACAAAGGCAUGGACUACAUCCAUGAAUGUGUGCUGUGAUAUCUGGCAUCAAGAUGUUAGCAGCAGAUCCUUUGCGAUUUGAGGUCUCCAGGACUUAAAGGAUACUUUUGAUAGAUACUGAGCACUGCAGACCGGGAACACCCCACAAGAGCUGCAGUUUUGGAGAUGCUCUGAUCCAGUCAUUUAGCCAUCACAAUUUGACCCUUCGUCAAACUCGCUCAAAUCCUUACACUUGUCCAUUUUUCCUGCUUCUAACACAAAGGACAAAAUGUUCACUUUCUGCCUAAUAUAUCCCACCCACUAACAGGAGCCAUGAUGAGGAGUGUUAUUCUCUUCACCGGUCAGUGCUCAUUAUGUUAUGCGUGAUCGGUGUAUUACGUAUGUGCUUUUAAAAGAUGUGAUUUAUAACAGUCAAAACGGUAACAAAGCUGUAAAUCUUCUGGAUAGCUCUGCAGUAACAUCACAAACUGCACUUUUUCAUGUUCAUGAGAGAGAGAGAGAGAGAGAGAGAGAGA